UAUUAUCAUUUUGGUCAUUACAUUGUAAGAAACCUUUUAGGCAAUCCUAAUGACGAAGUUCCUAACACUAUAUAGGAGAAGGAAAACAAUAUUUUACAGGUUUAUAAAUUUACCAUAGUGUAUAUAAUAGUUAACAUUUUCUUGACUAUUAAGACUAACUAUCUUUGGGUUAUUUGUACUUCUAGUGAACACUGCUGUUUGAUGGAUGGAAAAAGAAAUGUCAUUCAUGUUUCAUAAUUGUAGGAGUAGAGAAAGCAAACUUCCCUGUAAUAAAAGAAAAAAAAUGCAUUAUUCCAAAACUCUUAAGGUCUAGUACUACAUCAUUUUGUGUGUGUGUGUGUGCAUAAACAAUGUGAAUUUGUGAAUUGAGGGUACUUUAAGAAAUAAUUGUAAUGCAUAGAUCAUUACUGCAGUAGAUUACACAGUGGAGGCAUUUAUCAAGAUUGCAAUUGUGUUCUCAUGAAUGUUUUACAGUUGUCAGCUUAUCAAUGCUGAAAACGAGGAUAAUGAGCUUUAAAAUGUAGGUUAUGGGGCCAUAAUAGAACCUACUUCUAAUGAAAACUUUCCAAUCAACUGAGUUGAAGGUUAGUAAUGUUCAAUUCUCACUACGUCACAGGGUGCUGGUCUUGGCAGUAAGAGAGACAAGAAUGUUAUGGUUGCUGCCACUAUUAAUCCUUUACCUUGUCAGGAGGAGGUGGUGAGCAUUCCACGCUCUUGGGAAAAGAUGUUCAAUUUUAAACUGCACUGGAAAACAUUCAAAGGGCUUUCUUUAAUUAAAAAAUAUUUUGAUACUAUACCAAUAUUAAAUCAUUGCAAUUUUUUUCCAUUUUAAGAGAUCCUCUGUUUUAAGAUGUAAAAAUCAACAUUUGGAGUUGGGUAUCCCCUCACUAAAUGUAUGCAUUUAUAUCUGCUUCUGGGAUGUUAAGAUGUAUUCUGGUGUCAGACAUUCUAAGUGGGAAAAAAGUGUUUCUUAAAAAUGUUGAGAAAUUGUUGUUAUAAAAAUAGCUUUAUCUGGUAGAGGUAAUAUGCCUCUCUGUAAUUAGUUAUCUCAUGUUAUGAUAUAAUUACUUGGUGUCCUUACACCAACCUCCAGGAAAAAAGAGUGUCUAAACAUUGUGUUAUAGUUUUAUCAUCUAUCUUUUAAAAUAGUACAGUUCCUAUGAAAUUCAGUGCAUUAGGUUGAUAAAAUAUACAAGACAAUUUACCAGGAAAAAGUUAUGCCAGAAGUAGAGAGUUUCUUCCACCUCAUUUCAGAGAACUUUCUUAUCUUGAAAUCAACUUAAAAAUAAUAAUAAGAUUGAACAGACAUCAACCUCCGUGCUCAUCAGCAUUUGGAGACUACAUGAACUGGGGCUACCUGAGCCAGACUGUUCAUUAUGCACCAUUCACAACCCAGUACUGAUAGUAAACCUUUUAUGUUAACAGUCUCAAGAUUUGAUCAUGAGGAAAGCUGGUUUGGAGUGUUGCCUGAAGGAGAGAUACUUCUUGAACCUAAAGCAAUUUCACUGACUAUGGUCCAAGCAUGCUGAUUACUGCAUGGUGACCAAGUUUUUACAUGUGAAAUCAGGAGCCGAUACCAGCGUCUUAAUUGUGAAGUGUAGUUCAGUGGUGCCAGCAUUGUGAAGAAGAACAUGAGUGAAAUGCUUAGAUGCUAUUCAAAGAGGGAGCUGAAAAUAGCCCUGGCUUGUCUUGGACUCUCCUAGAAGUUGUCUGUGCCCUCUUCACCAGGAUAUCAGGAUGUAGGCUCCAUCCUGGCAGGAGCUUUAACAUCAAGGUCAAAUGGAAAAUCCUAGAAUGGAACAUCAGAAAAGUGGCUCAUCUUCAGUAAGAAAAAAAUUGCCAACAUUAGUCAGCAUCUGAGAACUAGGGAAAACCUGUAAAUAGGAGAGCAGAUCAAGUGAGUCUCAUCAAGUUCUUGGGAGGAUCAUGGACUUUGGUCCUGGGAUUUGAGCCUGAAUCUAUACUUCUAGGUUGUCACUAGAAAAUCAAAGAUACAUGCAUGAGAGUUAAUUGGGAUAGGGUUGAUAUUUAAUUUAGACUUUUGCUUAAAUAUCCUAAGCUUAUUAACAAGCAUUUCAAAUAAAGUACUCUGUUAAUGGAAAAG